CGAGCAGAGUCAGGGCUGCCAGCGCCGUAAGCAGCAAGGGGAAGGGCAGGUUGUAGAGCACCAGGCCCCCGCGAACGCCCAGCCGCGCCUGCGAGCCGUAAGGGUCGUGUGGUUGGCAAGUCAUUUAACUUUUCCAAACAAAUCUGCAAAAUGGAGAUAACCGCACCUGCCUCAUUGCGUUGUGAAGAAGAUGAAAUGUUUAGCCCGGUGCCCAACACCCAGUUCUUACUCUGUCAUCCAGGCUGGUGUGCAGUGGUGCAAUGCGGGCUUACUGCAGCCUUGAUCUCCAGGUCAAGUGAUCUCCCACCUCAGCCUCCGGAAUAGCUGGGACUACAGAGUCUUCUUUCUCCAGAACAAACACUCCGAGUUUUUCAGCUGUUCCCUGCAGGACAGGAUUCUGGGUUCUCACCAUGUGGAAGAAUCUCUUCUCUGUUUGCUUCUUACCAGCUCAACAAUGCCCCUCUGAAAGUAGGACUCUUGGAAAUGAACCUUGUUGGGAGUAAAGCUGAACCUUCACCUCUCCUUUCCAGGAUUCUACUCCAUUCAUAUGGCCUCACACUGAAUUAAUGUUUCUAGCAGCCACAUCACUUUGUUACCCAAUUGAUCUAGUAGUAAAGUCUUCCCAUCUCUUCAUG